UACGGAGGGGGCGAGCGUUAUUCGGAAUUAUUGGGCGUAAAGGGCGCGUAGGCGGCCAGACAAGUCAAAGGUGAAAUCCCUCGGCUCAACCGAGGAAUGGCCUUUGAAACUGCCUGGCUAGAGUCCGGGAGGGGGUAGCGGAAUUCCCAGUGUAGCGGUGAAAUGCGUAGAUAUCGGGAGGAACACCUGCGGUGUAGACGGCUUUCUGGACCAUUGCUGACGCUGAGACACGAAAGCGUGGGUAGCAAACAGG
rnacentral:rRNA from 1 species